rnacentral:rRNA from 1 species
ACCUUUUGUAAUCAAUUUCACAGGUGGCUGCAAUAUUCAAAAUUGCAAACAGCAAAGACAUACCUGGUAUCCCAGAUCAUCUUUCUUCUGAAGCAAAAAGCUUUCUGAAACUCUGUUUGCAGCGUGAUCCUGCUGCGCGUCCGACUGCUGAUCAAUUAAUCGUACAUCCGUGGGUGAAAGACCAAGCAUCAGUUACCAAGGCUCCUGUCAAAUAGUGGUUUAUAUUAGGAAUCUGCUUGUACUCUGUAUGAUAGCCAUCUAUGGGUAGAUGACAUUAUCUCUCAUAUUGGUUACCCUCGAGAUUGAGUUUGGUGUCCUAUAAUUUCUUACCGCUGUGAUUAAAUGUCAGGUAAAGAGAAGCGUGGAGUUGUUGAUAAUAAUCUCAGGAUGAGAAACGUAGCAGUGCCAGUGAGA